GACGAACGCUGGCGGCGUGCUUAACACAUGCAAGUCGAACGAUGAAAGCUGGAGCUUGCUCCGGCUGGAUUAGUGGCGAACGGGUGAGUAACACGUGAGCAAUCUGCCCUUGACUCUGGGAUAACUCCGAGAAAUCGGUGCUAAUACCGGAUAUGACCCUUGGCGGCAUCGCAGGGGGUGGAAAGUGUUUCGGUAAAGGAUGAGCUCGCGGCCUAUCAGCUUGUUGGUGAGGGAAUGGCUCACCAAGGCGACGACGGGUAGCCGGCCUGAGAGGGUGACCGGCCACACUGGGACUGAGACACGGCCCAGACUCCUACGGGAGGCAACAGUGGGGAAUAUUGCACAAUGGGCGCAAGCCUGAUGCAGCAACGCCGCGUGGGGGAUGACGGCCUUCGGGUUGUAAACCUCCUUUAGCAGGGGAGAAGCGAAAGUGACGGUACCUGCAGAAAAAGCACCGGCUAACUACGUGCCAGCCGCCGCGGUAA
rnacentral:rRNA from 1 species